rnacentral:rRNA from 1 species
GAUGAACGCUGGCGGCGUGCCUAAUACAUGCAAGUCGAGCGAACAGACGAGGAGCUUGCUCCUCUGACGUUAGCGGCGGACGGGUGAGUAACACGUGGAUAACCUACCUAUAAGACUGGGAUAACUUCGGGAAACCGGAGCUAAUACCGGAUAAUAUAUUGAACCGCAUGGUUCAAUAGUGAAAGACGGUUUUGCUGUCACUUAUAGAUGGAUCCGCGCCGCAUUAGCUAGUUGGUAAGGUAACGGCUUACCAAGGCAACGAUGCGUAGCCGACCUGAGAGCGUGAUCGGCCACACUGGAACUGAGACACGGUCCAGACUCCUACGGGAGGCAGCAGUAGGGAAUCUUCCGCAAUGGGCGAAAGCCUGACGGAGCAACGCCGCGUGAGUGAUGAAGGUCUUCGGAUCGUAAAACUCUGUUAUUAGGGAAGAACAAAUGUGUAAGUAACUAUGCACGUCUUGACGGUACCUAAUCAGAAAGCCACGGCUAACUACGUG